AUAUACUAUCAAUUUUGAUUUCAUAGUUAUAAUUUUUUUUUAAAAGUAAUUAAAACUUAAAAGGUACAUUAUCUUAAUACCAAAUAGGCUCUUAGGACUGACAUGUAUUGAAAGGACUGAUGAUUGAUUAUAUAGGGGAAUUAAGCAACAAAAAUGCUACACCAACAGUAAUCUUAUGUUAUCCAUAGCUUUCAGGAAAAGUUAAAGUAGGUAAUCAACCUAAAUUGAAAAUUUUGACAUUACUUAUUUUAGUUCUUAGCCUCAAGCUUAUUAAUUUGGGUAAGCAAUUGCGCUGCUAUGGAAGAAAUUAUUUAAUGAUGGAAAAUUUGCUAACCUUUUUGCAAAUUAAAUUUCAACCUCUUCUCUUUAUAUGUCUAAAAAUUUUGAAAAGCGUCUACAGGAAGCCAUUACCAUUCCCACAUCUCAAGGAAAUGACAGUAAAUAUGUGCUACAAGCUUAAAAAGCUUCCACUGGAUUAUAAUAGUGAGCAUAAAAUUUGUUAUUGGUGGAGAAGAACACCUUAUUUAGUAGUGCGGUUGAACAAUUAUAAUAUAAAAGAUAUAAUAGUAAAGUAUUAGUAAACACCUACUAUUGUGGUUUAAAAGAUAAAUUGAUUUGAUCUAAUAUUUAUAUAAUUAAAAAGUUAUAAUAUUUUUAUUAUGAGUUAUUUUUUAGUGCAGGCACUUACAUUUUUUUUAAAUAUGGAUUUGAGAUUCCACACCCGUUUCAAAUACUUUUACAACAUUGUAAAAUGAUUUUUCAGUAAAUUAUAAAGUUGUUAAAGCAUUUGACACUAAUAUGAAACCUUAAAUCUGCAAUUUAAAAAAUGCAGGUGCUUGCACUUGAAAAUGAUUAUCCUUAUCAUUUUCUCAAAAUUUUCACAGUGCCAGCUUUUUUUUUAUAGCAACUACAACUUUUAAAUCACGAUACCUCAAUAACAAACAAGACCAAAGAGUGAUGGAAGGAUCUUGGAUGGGAGGAUGUGCCAUUGAAAAUACUUUCUCUCUCCUGUUUUAAAUCUCUUUACAAAUUUGAUUCUGGGUGAGUGUAAUUUUCUUCCCUUUAGGUUUUUAUUGUUUGCAUCGUGUGAUUGAAAAAAAAAUGUGUAAGUACUUGUGUUCUCAUUUCUUAAUAAUCUUGCUGGUUCAAUCACAUGUCUUGAAUUCGAUCUCUUUUUCCAUUUCCUAUUUCAUAAUAUUGACAUGUUGUGAGAUUCGGUUGUCUGCUCUAUAGGAUAAGAUUUUGUUAAGACAUAUAUGAUCCAUGAUCAGAUUCAUGUACACACAUACCAUGAUGAUUGAUAUAUGAUCAAUAAAAUCCAUUGAUCAACACUGACAAUCAAAAUUGAAUCAUAGAAACAAGAUUAAUCACCACAAAAUGGUCACACGCAGAGAAUGCACAAACAAAAAACAACACAAGCUACAACUUCUAAUGAAUUAUUUAAUUCAAAGUAUGAUAUGAUUUCUUUGCUUUUUCUAAAGUUUUGAAAGUUAUUUUAUAAUAUAAUAAGUCUAUCUUCCAUGUCUUCUCAUUUAUUACAAACUUUGACCAAUAAUUUAAUAAUAGUGUUAGCUUGUGCUUGUUGGAUAUUAUCUCUAUCUUGAUUAAAUUCCUUAAAAUUGUAACCUACCAUAUUAAUAUUUGGCUAUUCUCUUUUUAAUUUCACUAAUGAUUCUAUUAAUUGUCUUUCUAAACUCAUCCACUUACUAUUAAUUUUAUCAAAUUAAAUUGUAUUUGUAAUUCUCUUUGUGUAUACUACAUAUUCUCUAUUUCAACUUUUAAAGUUUCUACAAGACUUUUAAUUUCUAAUUCUACUAGCCUAGGUGUUUUUAUAUCUAAAAAUUAGAUUAAUUCUAUUAUUUCUUCUUUAUUAGAGAAUCUUCUAAUUUGACUAUUGAAUGUGAAUAACAACUCUUUAAUAUAGUCUAGAUUUCUUCUUAAUGUAUUAAUGUUACUAGUUUUCCAAAACUGUCCAAGUCCUAGCAUGAGUUCUUUCAAGCUUUUCUAAGUUCGCUUCUAGAUGUUGUUCUAAAUUAAUUAACAAGUCUAUAAUAAGUUUUAUUGAUUACUACUAGUAUGUGGAAUAUGCUUAAAUUGGUUUUGUGAAUGUUCUAUGUUAUAACUAACUUUAUGUCUCUUUGUCAAAUUUAAUUUUGCUUUUCUAUUGUUACUAAUUUCAAGAUCUAAGUAUGCUAAUCUAUGAAAAUUAGUACAUAAUAGUUUAUGAACUUCUUAUAUCUUCUAAUCAUUUCUAAUUUUUAUCAUAGUAAUCUAAUAGUUUCAAUUCAUUAGUAUAAGAGUACUCUAAUAUAGGAAAUUUUGAGAGAGCAUAAUGUCUAACUAUUAUUUUUCUCACCAUUUCAAGAGCUAAUGGAGAUGUAUUAUUUACUGGAAGCUUUAUAUUUCCUAAUCUUUCUUCUAGAAUAUUAUCUAAUAACAAACAUCCUAUAGUUUUUCAGCUUCAAUAUCUACAGUUUUUAAAACAAGUUCUAAUAUUUCUACAUAAGGAUUAUUUUGUAUCCAAGCAUCAGAAUCUUUUGCUAAAACAACAAAUGGAUCUUUAUAAAACUAUCAAGAUUAUCAUCAAAUUUAUCAAUCGUGAAAAUAUAUCAAGAACUAAAUGAGCCUUGUAAGUACUCAUAUAAAAUAUAUUUAAAAGAAGAACAAAAGAGGUGGCUUGAUACAAACACUACAAGAAAAAGUGCCUACCAUGACAGGCAAAAUCUGUUAUAGUAGGGGGUGGAUGACGGUUGUUCAUACCGUCAUUGUAGCCACCAUCAAGAAUUGAUGACAGAAUAAUACCAGUCAUAAUCUAUGAUAAAUAUUUUUAGUCACAUAACUGUCAUAACUUUAUUUAGAGAGGAAUAUAAUAAAUUUGAAUUUGGCCCCUUUUUUUUUAAAUUUGUGCGCCAUAUUUUGAAUUUUUGGUGGGAAAAUCAAAUUUGGUGCGAAAUGCAAAUUAUAAUUAAAUGAAUUUUUUCAA
rnacentral:lncRNA from 1 species